rnacentral:rRNA from 1 species
GACGAACGCUGGCGGCGUGCCUAAUACAUGCAAGUAGAACGCACAGUUUAUACCGUAGCUUGCUCCACCAUAGACUGUGAGUUGCGAACGGGUGAGUAACGCGUAGGUAACCUGCCUGGUAGCGGGGGAUAACUAUUGGAAACGAUAGCUAAUACCGCAUAAUAUUAAUUAUUGCAUGAUAAUUAAUUGAAAGUUGCAAUUGCACCACUACCAGAUGGACCUGCGUUGUAUUAGCUAGUAGGUGAGGUAACGGCUCACCUAGGCGACGAUACAUAGCCGACCUCGGAGGGGGAUCGGCCACACUGGGAAUGAGACACGGCCCAGACUCCUCCAGGAGGCAGAAGUAGGGAAAAUUUGGCAAUGGACGAAAGACUGACCGAGAGACGCCGCGUGAGUGAAGAAGGGUUUCGGAUCGUAAAGAUCUGUUGUAAGAGAAGAAAGGGUGUGAGAGUGGAAAGUUCACACUGUGACGGUAUCUUACAAGAAAGGGACGGCUAACUACGUG